UACGAAGGGGGCUAGCGUUGUUCGGAAUUACUGGGCGUAAAGCGCACGUAGGCGGAUAUUUAAGUCAGGGGUGAAAUCCCAGAGCUCAACUCUGGAACUGCCUUUGAUACUGGGUAUCUUGAGUAUGGAAGAGGUGAGUGGAAUUCCGAGUGUAGAGGUGAAAUUCGUAGAUAUUCGGAGGAACACAGUGGCGAAGGCGGCUCACUGGUCCAUUACUGACGCUGAGGUGCGAAAGCGUGGGGAGCAAACAGG
rnacentral:rRNA from 1 species